rnacentral:rRNA from 1 species
GUCUAUUUGGGGAUAUACAUAGUCUGGCCUGCUCACUGACACAGGAUUGUUUAAGAGCCGCGGUAUUUUGACCGUGCAAAGGUAGCAUAAUCAUUAGCUUUUUGAUUGAAAGCUUGUAUGAAUGGUCGGACAAAGGAAAAGCUGUCUUUAUUGUAAAAUUAGAAAUUAACCUCUAAGUGAAAAGGCUUAGAUUUUUUAGGGGGACGAUAAGACCCUAUAAAGCUUUACAUAUAAGUAGAGUUUACUUAAUUAAAAAGUAAAAGUUUAAUCUAAUUAAUGUGUUUUGUUGGGGCGACAUAAAUAUAAUUUAUAUUAACUGUUUAUAAAUUAAUACAAUAAUAAAUGAUUUUAAUGUAGUUGAUCCUUAUUAAAGAUUAAAAGACUAAGUUACUUUAGGGAUAACAGCGUUAUUUCUUUUGAGAGCUCCUAUCGAAAAAGAAGUUUGCGACCUCGAUGUUGAAUUAAAAUAUCUAAAUAAUGCAGGAGUUAUUUAAGAAGGUCUGUUCGACCUUUAAAUUUUU